rnacentral:rRNA from 1 species
GCGCGGGAAUUCGAUUACAGAGUUUGAUCCUGGCUCAGAUUGAAUGCUGGCGGCAAGCCUAACACAUGCAAGUCGAGCGGAUGAUGUGAGCUUGCUCCCGGAUUCAGCGGCGGACGGGUGAGUAAUGCCUAGGAAUCUGCCUGGUAGUGGGGGACAACGUUUCGAAAGGAACGCUAAUACCGCAUACGUCCUACGGGAGAAAGCAGGGGACCUUCGGGCCUUGCGCUAUCAGAUGAGCCUAGGUCGGAUUAGCUAGUUGGUGGGGUAAAGGCCUACCAAGGCGACGAUCCGUAACUGGUCUGAGAGGAUGAUCAGUCACACUGGAACUGAGACACGGUCCAGACUCCUACGGGAGGCAGCAGUGGGGAAUAUUGGACAAUGGGCGAAAGCCUGAUCCAGCCAUGCCGCGUGUGUGAAGAAGGUCUUCGGAUUGUAAAGCACUUUAAGUUGGGAGGAAGGGCAGUAAGUUAAUACCUUGCUGUUUUGACGUUACCAACAGAAUAAGCACCGGCUAACUUCGUGCCAGCAGCCGCGGUAAUACGAAGGGGGCUAGCGUUGUUCGGAAUUACUGGGCGUAAAGCGCACGUAGGCGGCAUUCCAAGUUGGAGGUGAAAUCCCCGGGCUUAACCUGGGAA